rnacentral:tRNA from 1 species
GGGGGUAUGGUGCACUAUUAGAGCGUUUGACUGCAGAUCAAACGGGCCCUAGUUCAACUCUGAGUCCCACCU